GGCAUCUGAGGCUCUGGAGGGAGGAUUUCAAGGGAUAAUAGUGCUGGCCUGAGAUCCAUGACUACCUGUUAAGAGAGUUUGAGAUGCUGGCUAAUGAAGGGGCUGGGGACCACCUGAGCUUUUCUCCUGCUCCAGAGGUGAAAGUGCCAGAUGUGACUGCAGUCGUAUUGCAGAAGGAAGAGUCUGGCCUAGCACAAGGAACAGUGGUGCCAGGGUUGAGAGGAAUCCUUCUGGAUCAACAUUUUCCAGGUCUGAAUUCCUCUCAUGCCUGGCAUUUAAUCACUGCAUUUGCUGUCUAUCAAACAGUAUAAAA
rnacentral:lncRNA from 1 species